rnacentral:misc_RNA from 1 species
GUAAAAUGCUUUUAAAAGCUGGCGGAAACUUUGAACGAGGGCUGGAAUCCGAGGUCGAAUACCGUAACAGGUACGGCUUUCAGCCGUUCCCGUGGAGGGCUGGCAUCGAUAACAAAAGAGUACUCACGGUACCAGGGAUUUUGCCGAUCCAAGAGAUUGAAGAAAGAAACGGACAGAUCCAAAUUCCCGGAGCCAGUGGUUCUUUUUUUGUAUUC